UGUCACACAGUAGAUACUAAAGAAGUGUGGCAGCAUUACUCAUUUUUUAAAAUAUUAGAAUAUAAGUUUUUAGAUAUUUUAUAGUUACUCUUGUAUAGUAGAUUACCUGUCAUUAGAAUCAAAUAGGCCUGAUGUGUAACUUCAUACUCUUAACACUUUGAAGUAGGAAGGUAUUUGUAGAUAAGGGUCAAACUAUUCAAUGUUUACCAGGACUUGUUUUAGUAAAGUGAAAGUACUGUGUCAUGAAGCAUAUUUGUGUGGGUAUUUUUUAGUCAUUUUUGGUCAAAAAAUGGAAAUAAAAUACGCUCUUUUGAGUUCACAGGGCUGAGACCACCUCCCUUGCUUAGUGAGAAGGCCUAGCAGAAGAGCAGUAUUGGACAGUUCAAAAAUGUUUGUUUAGAUGUAAAUGUUGAUAAAAAGCUUCAGGUGUCAACACAGUAAGUCCAUUUCUGCUAACAGUGAGUAGACAGUGUAGGGUGCGGCAGCUGGUUGUUGGCAACAGUGUACUUAAUCUUCUCAAAUAGUAGAUGAACCAACCUCAGGGACGUUCCCCCUUAUACUAAAAGGGGAUGUGCCAUCUGGUGUCCUCCGGUGGCAGGAAUGCAGACUACAGGAGAUGGUUCUAGUUCCUUCUACACUCAGUAUCAUCGUAGUUAGGCUCGGGAAUUCACCUUGCUUACGUAAUACUUCCUUGCCUAUGAUUUAGGAAUUUAUAAUGUGGAAAUGAAAUAGUUAAUUGAAGACUUGGCUGAAUUAGUUUCCUUUGGUGAGCAAAAUUAAUCUUAAAACUUAGGUAAGGUGGCCAAGAUUAAAGCAAAAAACCUCAUAGCUCAACUAGAUGUUUGGUGAUUAUGAACCAUUUUGUAUUUGAAACAGCUGAUGAGGAUAGCAUAUGACCCAGAGGUGUUAGAUAUUUGUACAUCUGAAUUAAUUGGUACUUUGUUCUCAUAUAAAAUCCAUUUGUGCAGCUAUUUACAGAAUUCCUUGUCUGUGACCACUUGUGCUAUGAUAGCCAAAAUAAAGGGAGAAAGAUACAGUUCCUAAUACCUAAUAUUUUAUGUCUAUUAGGAGCCAUCUAUCAGGAAAUAUAGUGUGUGUUCUAUUGAUAAAAUUUGGAUUUUGUUACCAUAACACUAUGGUUCUUUGUAUCAGAGAUGUUAGAACUUAGCAUAGACCACCUUCAGAAUCCUCAAAUGUGGUGUUUCAAUAGACCUGUGGUUGGACUUUGUGCUUCAUCUAUUUGAUCUGCUUUAUUUUACUUGACCAUUCUCAUUGAAUCUUCUGUAGUAUUUUUUUCACUUAUAUCUGGGAUAUUUUGGUGGAUAUUUUCAGUAUAACCUAGGUCCUUAAAUUGGUUUAUAAAUUGUUGGGGGAAAUAGGACAUUGCUGAUCUUAAUUUGAUCUUGAUAUUAAAUCUAUGCUGGGUAUUAUUUAAUAUUUCAAAUUGAAAUAUGUCAGAUAAUAUUUUGUGGAAGUAGAUUAUAAACUUUUAAUAGUUAUGGUACAGCAAAGAUCUCAAAAUUAUUCUGGCAGAUUGCUGGGAGUUUUAUUCUUUGAUAUUUAUCCCCCUAAUUCUAUGUAAGUUGAAUGAUAGAUACUACUGCCAUUUAACUUGUGUUGUUACUAAAGAUAAUCAUUCAUUGUCCCAAACCAAGAGACCUUUAGUUAGCAGAGGUGUUCUGUCUGCACGUGUUAAUCCCUUUACAGAGUUGUCCUGGUUGUUAGGAGAGACCUUGGCUGGAUUUAUGAUGAGUUAUGUUUGCUGAGCAUAAGUGAAGCUCAAUGUGAGUGCUCUGAAAUCCAGCCUCAGUGUCAAUCCAAGGACUUGGAAUACAAUUUUUCCUAACAUGAGUUCUUAGACUGUAUAUUUCACAGGGUUUUCCCAGUCAGUGUGUGCAGGUUAGGGACAACAGAGCUAUAGUUUUUUGCCCAGUGAAAUAGAGGAAGGUGAACUUUAAAUUCACUACUACACUUUCCUUUGGUAGAGUAUUUUCUGUGUAGCAUUAUUAUAUCUCACAUUUAUCUUUUUAAUUAUACAUUUCAAAUAAUAACUUGAAAGGUUAUCAACUUUAUAAAUUCAAAGGACUUGGAAGCUACUAUACUGUUGUUCUUCUUUUCCAUUACAAGUAUCACUCAACUUCAACCUUGUACCAGUCAGUUUCCUGAGAGCAUGUCUCCAGACUCUGGGAGGCAACUCCUUUACCACAUAGGUUUGGAAGCGCUCCAGGUUUGGAAAGAGAAUAGACCUACAGAUACAGUCAGAGUCAAUCCCUCUGCUAGAGGAGCUGGAGAAAUAACCCAGACUUGAAAUGGAAGACUUCUGUGGCUUGGGCUGAAUAAAAUAAUAAAUCAAAGGAUUUUUUAAGUUAUGAUUUAUGAAUUUAUGAGAGUAAGUUUUUGCAAUGAUGCUGGUUUUCUUAUUUUUGUAGGAAGGCAGAAAAUUGGGGGCAUUGUAUUCUAAUUAUCUUUCUCAUAAUGUUUAAAUGUGUAACCUUUUCUAGUGAGCUUGGCUGAAUAUCAUGGCUUUGAGUUUUAAAUACAUUUGGUGUUUUCUUCAUUGAAUUAUGGUCCUAAGUGGUGUCAAGGUACCAAUAGAAAUAUUCCUUCCUUGAAAAAUUGCUGCAGGCACAAUGAAGAAACUUUCAUAAAAGUCUUGAUUUACUGAAUAACAUUUUUGUUCACCUAAGAUUGUAACAUGGCAAAAUUUGUAAAAAUUGAUUACCAGAAGGCAUAGACUGACUUUUCUGAUAAUGUUCCUUUAUGGUGAAAUUGAAACAUGGCUGACCAGAAGUGUUUGUGUCUUUAUUACUGUUCUCUCUCCAAGGCCUUGCAUAAUAAUUGGCAUAUAGUAGGUGUUUGAUACAUAAUAAUUUUUGUUAAAUUGGCAUAUUGUUACCACAGUAAAUGGUGAAUCAGAACAUGACUAAGAAAAAGAUACAAGAUAAUAGGCAAAAUUUGGCUUCCAUUUUAACUGCAAUUUUUCUCAUUCUUUGUAAGAGUUUGAGUCAAGAAACAAGGGCAUUUUAUUGUGCCCAUUUCUGGGAGCAGGGACUUGCAGUGCUUAUUGUCCUAAACUAAUCUUGCAUAUUAUAACAUCAGUUAGAAUUAUACUUAGAUGCUAAUGCCAAAUUUUGAGUUGGAGCCCUGGUGGAAAGAGGAAACCAUGCCCCUUAAGAUUGGUCUCCUCCUAUUGGAUGCUCGCCUCUGUUUCAGUCUGGCUCACUGGAGAGUAAAUCUAUGUUGGCAAUCUAUAUGUGUGUGCAUUUGAACUUGCCCUUUGUGCUUUGUUGCUUUAUGCAGAUCUCUUCAAAUAAAUCAAGAGGGAAAUGUUGAGUAUGUGACAAACUACAUGGUCACAUAAAAAUAUAUGAAAAUGCAUCUCAUCUAGGUUAGCAAAAUAUUUUGAUUACUUGUUCUUGUGGGUCUUUUAAUAUAUGUAAACAUCUGCAAUUCUGUAAAAGAAAAGACUAAGCAAUUAUUUGUAAAAUGGCAAAAACAUAAGGAUAAUACAAAGAAGAAGAUACUAGCAAGUAAACCUAUUAAAUACCUCAAACUCAAUCAUUGACAUUCUUUAAAACCACCAUAGGGAAUAUUUGACUGUCAGUUAUACCAGAGAUGUACCAAAGGUGAUGCCAGUGAGAAGAAGAAGUAUCUGUCAUUCAUGGAUGUGAAUUGAGCCUAAGUAAGUUGGACAAGGAUUUCAAUGAGAAACAAAGAAAAUUUAUUGCAUGAUAGCAGCUGCUGUUCAGACUCCAUUAGAAGGCUGUUCCGGAAUCACCUUUCUGACUGAGAGUUUUAUCAUCCAACUAUAAUAAUAAACUCCUAACUCACCUCCUAACUGGUCUCUUUAGUGUGGCUUCAGAUUCUUUAAUGCAUCUGUCUAGGUUAUAGCAAUCUUUGGGAAAGAUUGAUGAACCCUGUCAUGUUUCUUCAUACAUCUGAAAGAGUGCUAGAAGUAAGCAAUAAUCAGAGAAGAGGAUAAAGAUUACAUAAACUGAUAAUACUGAGAGCAUCUUUUGCCACUGUCAAGACUGGAAUAUUUUUAUGUUCACCACUGAAUAUUCAUAAAUUUUGUGACAUUACUUCGCUCACCCUCUGAUCCAUACGAAUCUCAAAACUUGUGCAGCAGGAAACAAUGUGAUUGCAGCCCAGGAUGAUUUAGGGUAGAUUUUCAAACCUUUUUUCCACUAAUAUGGAUGAGUAAGAGAGUAUAGCCUGAAUGACUGCCUCUGCAUUGAUAAAAUUGUAGUUUUCAAAUUCUUCUGGAGUAUCUUAAACAAUUUUACAUUUGAACUGCUAUGGAAAUCUAGACCUCAUGCUGGUUUAAGGGUCUUUGGCCAGGGCUACUCUCUGGAUCUUCUACUCUAUUCAUUUGCCUGGUCUAAAAGCAUCAGGACAACAUCUUUCCAUAUUCCUUCAAAAAAUGCAACUGUGUGAAGGGUAUCUACUUAAGUGAAAAUUAUUUGAAGGGGAUAAAUCAUGUAUUGGACUAGACUGGACAAUUUCAAGUAGACAUAACUUGGCAGGAAUAUGUGGAUAGAAAGAAAAACUGUAUCUCAAGUUCUGCUAGAGACAUCAACUACAAAAAUCAUAGAAAGCAAGAUUUAUCUGAUCUGAACUGCAUUUGUCCUUUAAAUAUUUACAUUUCACUGGUAAUCUUUGGAUUUGGGGUGGGGGAAGUAUUUUUCUUGCUAUGGAGAAUCAUCAACUUGUUACUGCAAGAUUUAACAGUUAAAGCCCUGCGUGUAUGAUAUUUUGAAUGUGUGUGUGCUCAAAAGAGGUCUUGAUGUCCCUUGGUACCUCCCUCCCUGAUGCAUUUUAUAACGGCUUGGAAUCUAAUCCUAUUAACUACUUCACUGUACAUGUAUAGCUUAAGAAUGUAUUUAAAUAUUUAGAAAAAUUGUGUUUGGGUAAUAGUAUUAAAAUGGAAAUAUACUCAAAUGAUGAAUGUUUAUUGUCCUUAGGAUGUUAGAUUAACAGAAUGAGAUAUAAUAUGUAAGUUUUAUUUAUUUGUGUAAUCCUUGGGAUCUAAUACUCAAGCACAGAGUUCUACAUUUGUAAACACCUGUUAUUUGCACAUACUUUUAAAAAUGGCUGGUUUCCUAUGGAAGUCUCUAAGAACAUGUUUGGUAAAUUGUCUUAUGAAAGAUUUUAGAAAGAAAUUGAGGCCAUUUUAAAAAGCUUUUUUGAUUCUAUAUUCAUUGAGUGCUUAUGGACAGCAGAGAAGAAAUUCGGGAAUGUUUAAGGCAUAGAUCAGGAAAGAUGGCAUUAGUUUAUUGCAUUUUGAGAAUAUUGUGUAUGAAAUAACGAAAUAUAAUUGCUUUGUGAGUAAUGUAAUUGCCAAAAAGAGUUUGCUAAACUAUAUAGGGGAAAUAUUUUAAUACAUGAUUAGAAAUAGAAUUGUUAAAAUACCUCUGAAUGAUAAUACAUUUAAAAUCAUUUGAUUGGGUUAUCAUUGGAUUAUUGCUCUGGCUUUAGCAGGAGAAUGGGGAUUGUUUUUAUAACUCACAUAAAAAGUUUUAUUACGAUUGUUCUAUGUGGAUAUAGGUACUAUUCUGUAAAUGGUUUUUAUGUUAAGAUUUAUGGUAUGAGAUUUCCUUCUCAUGAUAGAAUUGCACAAGAGGCCAACUUCUGUGAACACUUACAUAUUAAGGGUUUGAGUGGGCUUUUAUUGUUCUGUAUAUAAUAGAAAAAGUACUGUUAUACCAUCUUAUCAAAUAUAGAGAUGGUUGACAUCUUUGGCAUUUCAAUUGUUAUAAUAUAAUUUUGUUGGUUGCUGAGACAAGUUUCUAACCUUCUUUGUCUCUAUUAGGCAAAUAAAAGAGCUGAAUUUAGGGGAUAGGGAAUAGAGAUUUUUAGAGGGCUCUGUGAAUAUGCAUAUGUGCAGAUAGUUUCUGAACAGCCUCCCGGCUUUACUCCAUGCUCAGUUGCUGAGAAUUCACAUAUCUUAUUAACAAUUCUAAUGUUGAAUAGAGGUAGACUUUUUUCCUUUAGCCAGUAGAAUUGUUAAAUUCCCUCUCAACAUUAAUUCAUUUCCAUAAGAUAUUAUUAUGUAUUUUGUUAUAAACAAUGUUAUAAUGUUUAAUAAUUUUUGUUUAAAAUCUCUACAUGUAUAGACAUUGUAGAUCAAACAGCUUAUUAGAAUAGAACCAUUUUUCUUUGCCAAAAAGAGAUGUUAGUUGUAGCCUCUCUGGUUGUUCAUUGGAUCAUUAGGUUCACUUUUUAGGUUGUGGUAAAUAUAAUGUAUAGUAUCUAGUAUAAUCUGUCAUUGAUUUAUGACAAGAUUCUUCUAAACAAACAGAACACAGUUAUUUGUAUAGUGAAGAGAAAUAUGUACAUGUGGUAUAAUAGCAUAGGUUACAAGGGUUUUCAUUUGCUAGUGGAGUUUGACUUUUAAUAAUUGUUCAUGUUUUUAAAUACUUAUUUCUAGUUAUAUAGACAAUUUAUAUGUUUUUAUGGGGAAUGUUUGCAGUGGUAUAUCAAACAUAGAUCAUUAAAUUGUUGGCUAAUAAAAGAAAUGUUUUUGCAUUAUGUGUAUGAAUAGAUGUUUUUUUAAAUGCAUAGGAACUACUAUAUCUGCAUGUUGUAAACUGAACACAUUAAUGUCAGAUUGUGAGUAAUCAGACAGUUGAAGGGAUGUUUUGUUAGAUGGUUGUGUAUAACAGAAUAUAUAAUAGGUUUUGCUUUAAACUUAUGUCUUGAUUUAUAGGGAUGCUUACAUAUAUAUGUGUGUGUACAUAUACAUGCACAUAUGUGUACUUGUGUGUAUAAAACAAGUGUUUAUUAAAAGUCAUAGAGUAUAAACUUUAUUGGCCAAUUAAUCACUUGGCUUUAGUCUAUUUUCUGUGGAUUGUUUGAAGGUGGCUGAUACAAGUUUUAGUUUAUGAACUUCAGUUGCUGAAGGAUAUUGUGAGGCUGCUGGAUAUCUGGUGGAUGAAUGUUAGUUUACUUGAUAACAUCUCCAUAGAAUUUACUGAUAGGCAUGAAUUUUAUGAAUACCAAACUGGUAGACAAAUGUGAAAACACUUUGGUCAAUUGAAUUGCUAUAACAUGUCCAUUAGGGAUGUGUUUGGUUGAUGGGGAUUAAACUUAAUUGGUUUUACAUAUAGAAGAUAAAUGUCACUUUAUAAAACAUUUUUUGGUUAUGUAGUUUCCAUUAAUAGUUCUGGAAAUAUACUUUCUUGAAAUAUUGAAGGUAGAAUCACUGAUCAUAGGCAUAAUAGAGUUCAAUCUUCAUGAGUUAGGGUUGAUAAUGAGGGGUAUUUUUUUGUUCCUUUAUGUGUUCUUAAACUAGGUAUUCUUAGUGUAGAAAUCAUUGCUGAUCAUAAUUUAAAACAUGUAGACUUGUCAUUUUUUCUUAUUCCAAUGUAAUUUUUAGACAUUAAAUACAGGGAACAAAGCAGGGAAAUAUUUCACUGCUAUGUGUAUAAUAGACAAGCUUCUUGUUAUCUUAACAUUGUGGUUAUGUAGAAACUUCCUCUCUAUACACCCCCCCCCCAAAACACAGUAAAUAUGUUCAUGUUGAACUACGGUGAAAGAUCUUCUACCAGUGGAAGUGUUACAUGACCCCUGUGUGUUUUCACAUGGUAUGAAUGGGGGUGGUGGUGGUUAUUAGUUGUGUAUAUGAGAUUAGAUCUUUGUUUUUAUAUAAUGUAACUUUGUAGAUGUACAGAAAUUUUAUAUUUUUUUAAAUUUAUUUUACCUAAAAUUAUAGCACACCUUUUUUUUUUAACUUGUAGAAAUGAAAUAGUACCCUCUGUAUUAUUGAGAGUGAUUUUUUGGGCUACUACAGUUACCUUUAAAACACUUGCUCUUGCUCUUUCUAGUGUAGAGAUGUUGCUUAUAUACAUAUACUUUUAAAUGUCAGCAACUUGCUUUACCAGUGUAAUAAUUAGCUUUCUCCUCUGUAUGUUCAGUGUUUUGUGAAAUGCGGACCGGGUGGUGGAUGUUUUCCUGAUCUCAUAUCUAUAAUGUAUGAUUCUUUUGCUUUAUAUCUACUCAUUGGUUUAUAGAGAUUGUAGACAUGCAUAUGUUGUAAUCAUAAGAAUUCUAUAUGGGGUGGCUAUUGCAUUUAUAAUUGUUGCUUUAUAACAUUUGACUGUAAAUACAUAGAAUUGGUGAUAAACAGAAUGAUAGGGGACAGAAACAGUUUUUUUUUUUUUUUAUGUUAGUUCACCUUAGUGGAGCCUUUAUUGGAUUACUAGUAUUACUAAGAGGAAAUUAUUUGAAAACUGAGUUAAAAGCCUCUUGGAGCUAAUAUUUUUGUUAUUUGUAUAUAUAUAUAUAGGAUAAUGUUAGGAGUUAGAGUGGCUUUAAUUUUUUUACGUCACAUUUAGAUUUAGAAGGAAAAUUAGAUUGUAAUUAUUAAAUUGUCCGUUUUAUAUAAAAAUACCUAUGUCAAGGGAUAUGUACGUCAUGUAUUUAUUUUCCCAGAUAUACUAAGGUUUAUGAUAAAAUAUCUAAAUUUUAUGCUAUUACAUCACAAUAACCAAAACAACUUUGUAAAUAACAGGCAAAUGAAAUUUUUACUUUUAAAACAUCUAGUAUUUCUAGAUGUAUUGAGAGUCUCACAAAGUAUAAUUUUGUAAAUAUUUCAUUAUAAAUGUGUUAGUUCUGUUCUUCUAGAAUUAGCGUAGCAAUGAAAUUGAUCAUUGAUAGGCUCUUAGAGUUUUGUAAAAUUUAUCAUAUAUUAAUUUGGUUGUUAAGAGGAAAAAUUGACAAGAAUGUGCAUAUACCCCAUUCUUCGAUAGAAAAAUAGUUUUGUUACUGUAUAAAGCAUGUAAAUUCAUUUCUUGUUCAUGGAUGUACCAGGCUUCCUGGUAUAUUUGUUUUGUAUAUUUUUUGCCAAGACUUUAUUUUUUUAGAGCUGUUUUAGGUUCACAGUAAAAUUGAGGGGAAGGUACAGAUAUUUCCCAUAUUUCUUCUGCCCCAACACAUUCUUAAUCUCCCCAUUAUCAACCCAACUCAUAAUCACCCCCAUGAUCAAUAUCUCACCCACCAGAGUGGUACAUCUGUAUAACUGAUGAACCUACAUUGACAUAACACAAUCACCCAAAGUCUGUAGUUCAUGUGGGGGUUAAUUCUUGGUGUUGUCUAUUCAUUCGGUUUGGAUAAAUGUAUAAUAUAAUGUACAUUAUUAUGAGAUCAUACAGAGUAUUUUAAUUGCCAAAAAAGUUAUCUGUGCUGCACCUAUUCAUCCCUUCACCUAAAUGUUUUCUUUUUUUUUUCAAUGGAAAUAUAUAUGACUUUGUUAGAGAUGUUAUACUACCUCUUGGAACAAUACACAGUUCUGUAUGUGUUCCCUUGGUUGCAUGACAAUAUUCAAGACAACUUUGUAAAUAAUAGAUACAAGUUUAAAAUCUUUAACAUCUAGUCUUUCUAGAUGUAUAGAGUCUCACAAAGUAUAAUUUUGUAAAUAAUUUGUCGUAAAACUUUAUGGUUCCAUUGUUUUGUUCAAAUGCCUUAGCAGUGAAAUAGAAUGAAAUUGUGGAUUUCUGAUCUAUAUAUAUUUUGAUACUGAGUUGCUAGGGGGAAGGAGGAAACUUAGUAUGAAUUUCACUUUUGCAUUUUCUUAAAAGAAAAUUUUACAUUUUAACCAUUGGUUAGUCCUGUGUUACUAUACAUUAUAAAAAAUCUUGGUCAAAAUUUUAUGGUUGUAUUGCUAAUAGGGCAUUAUGUAUUUUAAUUAUAGAAAAUGUGUUUUAUAAAAGACUUCUUUUUUAAUUAAACAGUUCUGUAUUUAAUUGGGCAGCAUGACAACAUUCAAGACAAUUUUGAAAGUAACAGAUAAAUACACCUUUUUAAAAAAAGUUUUCCUACAUGUAUGGAAUUUUACUAAGCAUAAAUUCGUAACCAUUUGGUUGUAAAAUAUAAAUUGCAUUUUGUAAGUGUUUUGGCAGUAUAAAUGCAAUUAAUAACUGGCCUCUUGAGGCUGUAUAACAUUUUGGUGUUCAGUGGGUUUUUGGAGAGAGGAAUACGCGAAAUGCUUCUCUAUCUUCAUAUUGUUAGAUUCUCAUGUAUAAGAAAAAAUUUGAGUUGUAUACUUAAAAAAAAUACACCCCAGCGGGUAUUUGGGAUGUAUUUUUAUCUUCAGGAAGGAAGAGGAAGACAAGAUGAGAACUGCCAUUUGAAAUCAUAGAUGCCUUCAAAGUAUAAGAUAUUAACAUAGCUAAAGAGUUCUUAUUUUGCUCUGCUAUAUAAAUCUGCUCUUUGCAAAUUUAUGUGUGUGCAGAUACAUGUAUAUCAUAUAUGCACACUUACCCAAGUAAAAUUAGUUUUAGGGCUAUAGAUCUGAUAAUGCAUUUUUUUCUCAUUAGGUUAUAAUACAUUUUACUUAUUUGAAAAUUAUAAAAGUAUUUCAAUUCUAAGCUUAAACAUUCUAGAAACCCACUUCAUGUUACAUUCAAAUGUAUGUGGAUUUUUAUAUAAAGUGUUUAAGCAACCUGUAUCUGUUGUAGUCUGUUUCCAUAUAUAUAUACAUGUAUAUGAUGAUGGAAUUCCUGUGUUUAUGAGCUUUUUCUGUUUUUCUGAAAGCUUUUAAAAACGUUAAUGCUGAAGUUAUAUUUGUAUGUUUUGUGAUAAUCAGAAACAAUGUUUCCUGACUAUAAUGUAAAUUGUGAAAGUUUCUUGGAAAGAUACUGUACAGAAUUGGUCAAAGCAUAAAGUCAUUUGUUUUUGAACAACACUUUGACAGUAUCAAAAUGUGAGAGUGAAUCUUUUGAAGUGAUAUAACUUGGGCUGGGGCUUUUUCCCAAUUCUCAAAUUUACAAAGUAUCUUACAGAUUGAGUGUAAUAAAUAAUGGAAUGUCUGAAAUAUACAUCAAUAAAAUAAAGAUUGUGAUGAUUAUAGCUUAUUCACGAAUAUAAUUCAAAUACUGGAAAAAUAUUCUGAUUUCGAAACAUACUUAAUUGGUGCUUAGUGCUUUUGAACAAGUAACAACUGGUCAUAUUUCCAGAGGCAUAUACAUGUGUCUCUAGUUUUUAUAACCAAAAUAUUAAUGGUUAUUAUUCCUUGAAAGUAGAAUUAUCCUGACAUGAUUAUGGAGCUAAGUAAUGCUUAUUCAUCAAUGUUACUAUAAUGCUGAUUAUUAUAGCAAUCUUUUUUAAAAUUGUGUACAUGUGUAAGGUAAAUAAUAUGUUGAUUAUAUAUUCAUAUAUUGCUACAUGACAAUCUGAAACGCAUAUAUGAAUUAUUGAAUAGAAAGUUGGAAGAAAGCCCGGUGAAAUUUGAACAUUACUGUAGAGAGAGAUGGGAAUAGGAGGACUGUUUUUACUUUUCUGCAUUUGAAAUUUCAAAUAUUUCAUAAAGAACAUUUAAACAACAGAAGAAACUUUAAAGAAACAGCAACUUUGUGCCUGUCUUCAUCCUUGCCUAUUGACAUCUUGGAGUAUUGGACUGUUGUAUCCAACUUUGUAUUCCCAGUGACCAUUAUGAAUAGUUUUUGAUCAAGAAGAACAUGAUUAGAGACUAGUGCAGCAGUGACUUUUGCACAAAGAAAUAAGAGUAUUGGAAUACCCAAGGAAUGAAGGAGGGAGAGGAUGGGAUUUGAGGUGAACGUGAUGAAGAAAAGAUGCAGUUGCAGCAACCCUGAGGACAGCUGGCAUCCUCAAAAACAUUUCCUUAAUUCAUAAAUCUUAAUUGUGAACCACAGGAGAUAAUAGUUCCAAGAAAAGACACUUCUGCUGGCUUUGAUUUUAUCUGUUAACAGUAUUACUCAUUCAAGCGUUCUUCACUUCCAUCUUUUGUCCUCGAAAACACCCCUUGGUGAUACGAUUGUAAGGAUAGGUGAUGACUGAAUAGGAAACUGAUGCCAUUCAUUAUUUCUGCUACUAUCUUUAAAACCAAGAUGGUCUUCAAAAUGUAUGGAGACUCCUCUUUCAUUUGCUCAGUGGACACUCCUUGCAGAUCAGAAAAACUGGACUGAGAAAGCUGAUGUACGAAAUUGACAUAAAGGUUGUCAUUGGAGAAAAUUUAACCAGGCAUGUUAAGUGUUUUAUUGUUGCAUUAGACUAAAUAUCAGGUGCUUGAAUGGUGAUGAUUUAUGUCAGGAUGGUGUAAUUGCAAGGCUUCAUUUCAGUGUUCCCAUAAGUAUAUAUAUUUACAUAUUUAAAAUGGUUUAUAAAAAUACCAUCUUUUCAAGAUUUAGAGAGACAUAAGAAUUUCUGAAGCAUAGUUUUACUUAAAUGCCUUUUUCUUCUAAUCCUAUUCCCCCAAAUUAUCUACACUAUUGGAAUUUUUGUGCACAUCCUUUUGGUGUGUUAGUGAACUGAUGUGCAAGUAGUUAUUUUUGGCCUAUAAGAUAGAAAUUUCUAUUCAGUGAACAUGCUUAUAUCUUAAUUACUUUGAAUUUGUCCAACUGAUUUGUUGAAAUUACUCCAGUGAAUUGGAACUGCCAGGACUAAGGAUAUCCAAAAUUUAUAUUUUGAGUCAAAACUACAGGUUUCUCUCUUACUCGUAAAAAUGGUUCUCAUCAGUCUUGUCUCCCAGUGUUUAUGAGAGUUCUGUUUCUUAAAACAGUGGAAAUAAUUAGAUACCAGUGUUUUAUUCUUUGACAAUGUUACAAAGAAACAGCUUUAUUUCUGUUAUUGUUCAGCUUACUCAUUUUCAUAUAUUCUUAAUCCUUACUAGUCAUUUGCCACAUUUCAUUUUCCUGUUUUGUUAUUUUUGGUUACUCUUGCAAUAUUACUGUCUUGGUUACUGGUUUCUAGGAACUUUUUAACUUUGAAUGUCAACUAUUUGUCAUGCAUUACAAAUGAAAUACCAUGUUUUUGCUAUCAUUUUACUCUGUGUUUUAUUUUUGGUUGUACAGAAGUUAUGUAUUAAAAUACAGUCAUGAUUUGUUU